GUACCGUUGGCAGAGUAGUUAUGCAACAGAUUGCAAACCUGUUUUAGAUAGGUGCAAAUCCUAUACGGUACUCCA
rnacentral:tRNA from 2 species